rnacentral:rRNA from 1 species
AUCAACGCUGGCGGCGUGCCUCAGACAUGCAAGUCGAACGAUUAAGACCUUCUUCGGAAGGUGUAUAAAGUGGCGCACGGGUGAGUAACACGUAGGUAAUGUGCCUUUGGGUGGGGAAUAACUUAGGGAAACUUAAGCUAAUACCGCAUAAUGCAGCGGCUCGACAUCGAGACAGUUGUUAAAGAAGUAAUUCGCCUAAAGAGCAGCCUGCGGCAGAUUAGCUAGUUGGUAAGGUAAUGGCUUACCAAGGCUACGAUCUGUAACCGACCUGAGAGGGUGGUCGGUCACACUGACACUGAAUAACGGGUCAGACUCCUACGGGAGGCAGCAGUCGGGAAUUUUGGGCAAUGGGCGAAAGCCUGACCCAGCAACGCCGCGUGAAGGAUGAAGUCUCUCGGGAUGUAAACUUCGUAAGAAUAGGAAGAAUAAAUGACGGUACUAUUUGUAAGGUCCGGCUAACUACGUGCCAGCAGCCGCGGUAAUACGUAGGGACCAAGCGUUGUUCGGAUUUACUGGGCGUAAAGGGCGCGUAGGCGGCGUGGUAAGUCACUUGUGAAAUCUCCGAGCUUAACUCGGAACGGUCAAGUGAUACUGCUGUGCUAGAGUACAGAAAGGGCAAUCGGAAUUCUUGGUGUAGCGGUGAAAUGCGUAGAUAUCAAGAGGAACACCUGAGGCGAAGGCGGGUUGCUAGGCUGAUACUGACGCUGAGGCGCGAAAGCUAGGGUAGCAAACGGGAUUAGAUACCCCGGUAGUCCUAGCCCUAAACGAUGUAUGCUUGGUGUCUGGAGUAUUAA